rnacentral:rRNA from 1 species
AUUGAACGCUGGCGGCAUGCCUUACACAUGCAAGUCGAACGGCAGCACGGGAGCAAUCCUGGUGGCGAGAGGCGAACGGGUGAGUAAAGUAUCGGAACGUGCCCAGUCGUGGGGGAUAACGUAGCGAAAGUUACGCUAAUACCGCAUACGGUCUAUGGAUGAAAGCGGGGGAUCGCAAGACCUCGCGCGAUUGGAGCGGCCGAUAUCAGAUUAGGUAGUUGGUGGGGUAAAGGCUCACCAAGCCGACGAUCUGUAGCUGGUCUGAGAGGACGACCAGCCACACUGGGACUGAGACACGGCCCAGACUCCUACGGGAGGCAGCAGUGGGGAAUUUUGGACAAUGGGCGAAAGCCUGAUCCAGCCAUGCCGCGUGCAGGAUGAAGGCCUUCGGGUUGUAAACUGCUUUUGUACGGAACGAAAAGGUUUGGGCUAAUAAGCUGAGCUCAUGACGGUACCGUAAGAAUAAGCACCGGCUAACUACGUGCCAGCCGCCGCCGUAA